CUGCUGCCUUCCGUAGGAGUCUGGGCCGUGUCUCAGUCCCAAUGUGGCCGUCCGCCCUCUCAGGCCGGCUACUGAUCGUCGCCUUGGUGGGCCGUUACCCCGCCAACUGGCUAAUCAGACGCGGAUCCAUCGUAUACCGCCGGAGCUUUACACACUGUCCCAUGCGGGACCGUGCGCUUAUGCGGUAUUAGCACCUGUUUCCAGGUGUUAUCCCCCUGUAUACGGCAGGUUAUCCACGCGUUACUCACCCGUCCG
rnacentral:rRNA from 1 species